rnacentral:misc_RNA from 1 species
AACGCACAUUGCGCCCCUUGGUAUUCCAUGGGGCAUGCCUGUUCGAGCGUCAUUUGUACCUUCAAGCUCUGCUUGGUGUUGGGUGUUUGUCCUUGCUCUAGUGGCGGGACUCGCCUCAAAGUAAUUGGCAGCCAGUGUUUUGGUUUUGAAGCGCAGCACAAGUCGCGAUUCAAGUCUAUACGCUAGUUUCCACAAGUCUUUUAUCACUUUUGACCUCGGAUCAGGUAGGGAUACCCGCUGAACUUAA